rnacentral:rRNA from 1 species
UGCGGCGUGCUUAACACAUGCAAGUCGAACGGAAAGGCCCUGCUUUUGUGGGGUGCUCGAGUGGCGAACGGGUGAGUAACACGUGAGUAACCUGCCCUUGACUUUGGGAUAACUUCAGGAAACUGGGGCUAAUACCGGAUAGGAGCUCCUGCUGCAUGGUGGGGGUUGGAAAGUUUCGGCGGUUGGGGAUGGACUCGCGGCUUAUCAGCUUGUUGGUGGGGUAGUGGCUUACCAAGGCUUUGACGGGUAGCCGGCCUGAGAGGGUGACCGGCCACAUUGGGACUGAGAUACGGCCCAGACUCCUACGGGAGGCAGCAGUGGGGAAUAUUGCACAAUGGGCGGAAGCCUGAUGCAGCAACGCCGCGUGCGGGAUGACGGCCUUCGGGUUGUAAACCGCUUUCGCCUGUGACGAAGCGUGAGUGACGGUAAUGGGUAAAGAAGCACCGGCUAACUACGUGCCAGCAGCCGCGGUGAUACGUAGGGUGCGAGCGUUGUCCGGAUUUAUUGGGCGUAAAGGGCUCGUAGGUGGUUGAUCGCGUCGGAAGUGUAAUCUUGGGGCUUAACCCUGAGCGUGCUUUCGAUACGGGUUGACUUGAGGAAGGUAGGGGAGAAUGGAAUUCCUGGUGGAGCGGUGGAAUGCGCAGAUAUCAGGAGGAACACCAGUGGCGAAGGCGGUUCUCUGGGCCUUUCCUGACGCUGAGGAGCGAAAGCGUGGGGAGCGAACAGGCUUAGAUACCCUGGUAGUCCACGCUGUAAACGGUGGGUACUAGGUGUGGGGUCCAUUCCACGGGUUCCGUGCCGUAGCUAACGCUUUAAGUACCCCGCCUGGGGAGUACGGCCGCAAGGCUAAAACUCAAAGGAAUUGACGGGGCCCCGCACAAGCGGCGGAGCAUGCGGAUUAAUUCGAUGCAACGCGUAGAACCUUACCUGGGUUUGACAUGGAUCGGGAGUGCUCAGAGAUGGGUGUGCCUCUUUUGGGGUCGGUUCACAGGUGGUGCAUGGCUGUCGUCAGCUCGUGUCGUGAGAUGUUGGGUUAAGUCCCGCAACGAGCGCAACCCUUGUUCACUGUUGCCAGCACGUUAUGGUGGGGACUCAGUGGAGACCGCCGGGGUCAACUCGGAGGAAGGUGGGGAUGACGUCAAGUCAUCAUGCCCCUUAUGUCCAGGGCUUCACGCAUGCUACAAUGGCUGGUACAGAGAGUGGCGAGCCUGUGAGGGUGAGCGAAUCUCGGAAAGCCGGUCUCAGUUCGGAUUGGGGUCUGCAACUCGACCUCAUGAAGUCGGAGUCGCUAGUAAUCGCAGAUCAGCAACGCUGCGGUGAAUACGUUCCCGGGGCUUGUACACACCGCCCGUCAAGUCAUGAAAGUUGGUAACACCCGAAGCCGGUGGCCUAACCGUUGUGGGGGAGCCGUCGAAGGUGGGACUGGUGAUUAGGACUAAG